rnacentral:lncRNA from 1 species
AGCCAUGCGUUCUCAAACUUGAACUUAGGGGCCCGGUGGGUAUAUUCACGACAGGUUAAUAAUAAUAAAAUAUGUGAAUGAUCUGAGGUGGGCACAUGCAGAUUUUUUAGUCUUGCAUACAGGAAUUGUGUUGUCUAGGAUUCAUUAAUUACACAUCUGUCGAUCCUUUCCCUUAUCACGUUCCUGCUCUUCCUUUGAUCCAAGUGAAACCGUAACCCGCCAAAGGCAUGUCUUCUAAAUUACACUUCCAC